GCUGGCACAGUGUUUGGGUGAUCCAGAAGUAAUGUUCCUGAUUAUAAAUAUUUUUGUAUAUAUUAACAUAAAUAGUUAUUGUAAGGGAUUAUAUUGACCCAGUAACCUAUCCGGGUCUGGUACUGGCAGUAGAUCUAGUAUUGAAGGGUCUGUACUGUAGUAAUGGACAUAUUCCAGGUGUCUGUAAUGUAGUAAUGGACAUAUUCCUGAGGUCUGUAAUGUAGUAAUGGACCUAUUCCUGGUGUCUGUAAUGCAGUAAUGGACAUAUUCCUGGUGUCUGUAAUGUAGCAAUGGACAUAUUCUAGGUGUCUGUAAUGUAGUAAUGGACAUUAUUCCAGGUAUAUGUGCUGUAGUAAUGGACAUAUUCCCUGUGUCUGAACUAUAGUAACGAACAUUAUUCCAGGUGUCUGUAAUGUAGUAAUGGACAUUAUUCCAGGUGUCUGUGAUGUAGUAAUGGACAUAUUCCCUGUGUCUGAACUAUAGUAACGAACAUUAUUCCAGGUGUCUGUAAUGUAGUAAUGGACAUUAUUCCAGGUGUCUGUGAUGUAGUAAUGAACAUAUUCCGUGUGUCUGUACUGUGGUAAUGGACAUUAGUCCAGGUGUCUGUAAUGUAGUAAUGGAUGAAUUCCUGGGGUCUGUACUGUAUUAAUGGACAUUAUUCCUGGUGUCUGUAAUGUAGUAAUGGACAUAUUCCUGGUGUCUGUAAUGUAGUAAUGGAUGAAUUCCUGGGGUCUGUACUGUAUUAAUGGACAUUAUUCCUGGUGUCUGUAAUGUAGUAAUGGACAUAUUCCUGGUGUCUGUAAUGUAGUAAUGGACAUUAUUCCUGGUGUCUGUAAUGUAGUAAUGGACAUUAUUCCUGGUGUCUGUAAUGUAGUAAUGGACAUUAUUCCUGGUGUCUGUAAUGUAGUAAUGGACAUAUUCCUGGUGUCUGUAAUGUAGUAAUGGACAUUAUUCCUGGUGUCUGUAAUGUAGUAAUGGACAUUAUUCCUGGUGUCUGUGCUGACAUUGGAGUCUGGUAUGGUCUUGGCCGUUCUGGUUCGAAGUUGCCCUGGGCUGGUCUGGCCUGUCCGUACGAUACAAAGG
ensembl:lncRNA